rnacentral:lncRNA from 1 species
UAUUUCCCUCUCAACAAUCAAACACACACGCACGGACAUGGCGUAAGCCACGCCGCCGCCGGAUACAGGACAGCAAACGCCCCACCGCGGUGCGCCGCCGCCUGCUCCUUCUUUUCCGACAAACAGCCGAAGCUACCUCCGUCUCCGCCCCGCCCGAAAUCGGUAAACCCUAACUCCUCAUCUCUUUCCCAUUUUUUUCUUUUUCUCAUCUUUUUUUUUAAAUUAAAACUGAAAUACUUCUCUCUUUUCUCCUCUUUGGCAGAUCGGAAACGACGACAGGUUCACCGCCGCCGCUCCGUUGCCGACGACGAGCCACCGAGGCUGUCAUUUCCCGACCUCGACUCACACACAAAACAGGGGUGUCAAGCAUCAAAUCAGUUCAAGGGUUUUCUUGUGCAAAUUCACUUUACAACUGUAAUACUCAAUAUAAAGUCUUUUAUUCAUCUGUAAUUUCAUUUCACAUAUAACAUAUCUUGUAAACAUAUAGUGAAACGUCAAGUAACUGUGUGUGUUGGGAUUCUGUGUUGGUGAUUUAGAGAAUUAAACAAAAGGGGAUAAUACCUUGAGUAGACGGUGUGGGAUGUUUGUUUCUUGUUACUGAAAACUUCUUGUGGUUUUGUGAAAGUAAAUGGAGAUGCUUUACCCAAUAUGAAUCUGGGUUUGUGUGGUCCGAAAAUGUGCAGCUGUUUAAGGCUCUGAAAUUCCAGUUCAUGAAUUGAGAAGUAAUGAAAAUUGGAAGAG